CGGGAAGCGCUGGUGAUCCCGGCAGAUGGGCGCCCUCUCCCGUCUCUCAGAGACCACUCAGUCCAGUCAAGUCUGCAAAUCGGUUAACUUGGGGGCUCUGGCGGUCGAAGUGGCGUUAACUCGCGUUGGUGCGAGAGGUCGCGACGCUUUUCAUUAUACGCUUCUGUGUUUCUGGGCUGAGGGCUCAGAGCCAGAGUGCUGGCUUGUGUCCUUCCUAGCCGUCCCGCCUGCCCCGAGUGUUGCGGAGAGUUUCUGAGAGAGAGCCCCUGAGGAGGGGAGCGGGCGCUUUCGCGGGCUCACACGGAGGGGCUGGGUAGGGAGAGGAGCCGCGCGGGCCGGGGCGGCGGAGAGGCCGGACCGAAGUCGUCAGUGGACACCGCCACCCCUCGGUCGGACCUCGAAGUGGACCUGCGCGCUCACCUGAAUUUCAUUGAAAUCUCUUGCUGGCCAAUGAUCAACUCUUUCCAAGCUGAGUGUUCUUUACUGUUAUACAGAGGUAGGAAGCAGAAGAGGUUCCAGGGAAGAAAACUGAGAACUGAUCAAAAGAAGUAUGAAGAGGAUGGAGUGCAGAAGAUGGGGAGAAGCAUGUUCAGUCGAGUGUGAUAAUGCCCAAAACGUCAGGAGUUGAGUCGGAGUAACUGAAGCUGACAAGUCUGUUGAUGACUGGUAAUCUGGGGGAGGAAAGCAGUAUCAAGAUACAAGUCUGAGAAAACUCAGGUCUCAAGAAAUUGUGCCAUCAAAGGGAGAAGAUAACUGUGGCAGCAAAGUCUUUUAUGAAGAUUGAUGGUGAAGGUAAGAAGGAGUUGGGAUUUGUCACUGGGCUCUUUGGAAAUAGGACUCAAUGGAGGGCUCUUUUCCCCCCAAGACAGAAGAAGCUUGGUGUUUUGAUACGUAGGGAGGAACUGAUGAGGAAAAGAGGAGGAAGACUGAAUAAAGAGAUAAUUCAUGAGUUAAGGUCUCAGAACUUAACUGGAAAAGCAUGAGAUCAACCUUGGAAUGGAAGGCAAGAAGGAAAGAGGAAUGAGUGGGAAAUAGAAGGUGUGAGGCGAAUGGGAAGAACACACAGGAAUUUCCAUCAGCUUUUGCUUAAUGAAAUAGAGGUAUGCAGAUUAUCCGCUAAGAGUACAUGUAUAUAGACCCCUGUAAGAACUGGUCUCCUACCUCCCACACUUCAUUUGCAUGUUCUUUGACUAUUUGCUGACUGAGGGUAAACAGCCAGGCUCCCUGGAAGUGCCUUUUCAAAGAGUUCUGAAGAAGAGAACUCUUUAGUUCUUGUUCAAACUGAGGGGACUUGAGUGCCCUGGAGUUCCACAGAAUUCAUAUGCAGAUCUCAAUAGAUCUCAAACUCAGCUCUGUUUGUGAUCCUGGGUUGUGUAACUAACAUGGAUAAUUCAAAUAUCACAACUUUCCAUUUCUUUUGUACCUCAAUAACACUGAUUCAUUAUCAAAUAAAUAAAAUUUAUUUACUCCGAAUGUUUCGUCUUUGUUGGUGCUCUUAACUGAUGAGAGAGUCCAUCAGUAUGUUGUUUUGGAUUAACUUAUGAAAAUGAAGAGUUUAUGGAUUAUAUGCUGAUGGAAAAUUGUCUGCUGAGGUAGCUUCAUAUUUGUUCUUUAUUCUACUGAUUUCAUAUAUUUGAAUUUUGCAAAAUGUGAGUUUUUUGAAUGAGCACACCCACACAUAUUUAUAUAUAUAUAAGGAAGUACAUAAUGUGCAUGUCUGAAG
ensembl:lncRNA